rnacentral:rRNA from 1 species
AACAAACGCUGGCGGCGUGCCUAACACAUGCAAGUCGUACGAGAAAGGGUCCUUCGGGGCCUGAGUAAAGUGGCGCACGGGCGAGUAACGCGUGGAUAAUCUGCCCUUCAGUUGGGAGUAACUCAUCGAAAGGUGGGCUAAUACCGAAUAAUGCUGUGAGACCUCGGUUGAUCAGCCAAAGAGAGCCUCUGCUUGCAAGCCCUCGCUGAAGGAUGAGUCCGCGUACCAUUAGCUAGUUGGUAGGGUAAUGGCCUACCAAGGCGACGAUGGUUAGCUGGUCUGAGAGGAUGAUCAGCCACACUGGAACUGAGACACGGUCCAGACUCCUACGGGAGGCAGCAGUGAGGAAUCUUGCGCAAUGGGGGCAACCCUGACGCAGCAACGCCGCGUGAGUGAGGAAGGUCUUCGGAUCGUAAAGCUCUGUCGGAUGGAAAGAACCGCAUAGGGGUAAACAGCCCCUGUGUCUGACGGUACCAUCAAAGGAAGCACCGGCUAACUCCGUGCCAGCCGCCGCGGUAACAC